rnacentral:rRNA from 1 species
UACGGGGGGGGCAAGCGUUGUUCGGAAUUACUGGGCGUAAAGGGCUCGUAGGCGGCCAACUAAGUCAUACGUGAAAUCCCUCGGCUUAACCGGGGAACUGCGUCUGAUACUGGAUGGCUUGAGUUCGGGAGAGGGAUGCGGAAUUCCAGGUGUAGCGGUGAAAUGCGUAGAUAUCUGGAGGAACACCGGUGGCGAAGGCGGCUUUCUGGACAGUUCCUGACACUGAGGCACGAAGGCCAGGGGAGCAAACGGG